CCUACGGGUGGCAGCAGUCGAGAAUCAUUCACAAUGGGGGAAACCCUGAUGGUGCGACGCCGCGUGGGGGAAUGAAGGUCUUCGGAUUGUAAACCCCUGUCAUGUGGGAGCAAAUUAAAAAGAUAGUACCACAAGAGGAAGAGACGGCUAACUCGGUGCCAGCAGCCGCGGUAAUACAGAGGCCUCAAGCGUUGUUCGGAAUCACUGGGCGUAAAGCGUGCGUAGACUGUUUUGUAAGUCGUGUGUGAAAGGCGGGGGCUCAACCCGCGGACGGCACAUGAUACUGCGAGACUAGAGUAAUGGAGGGGGAACCGGAAUUCUCGGUGUAGCAGUGAAAUGCGUAGAUAUCGAGAGGAACACUCGUGGCGAAGGCGGGUUCCUGGACAGUAACUGACGCUGAGGCACGAAGGCCAGGGGAGCGAAAGGGAUUAGAUACCCCAGUAGUC
rnacentral:rRNA from 1 species